AUGUGUCGCGCCCUGAACGUGUCGGCUCUUUUUGCGCGCGGCAAUUGGAACAGGGAGUAGCGUUGUGGCCCGCAUAGCAGGCGUCAACAUUCCGACG
rfam:Oceanicaulis sp. HLTCCA04 ITZX_scaf_29, whole genome shotgun sequence.